ACAAGUUAAAAUAUUGCAUUGCUAGUGUUCACGACAAAAAACAUACGCCUCAAAAGAGCAUUACCGGACUUCCUGUGUUUUGUUUUCUUUCUCCGCGGGCGUCCUGUGUCAACAAAAUGGCGGCCAAGAAGUUURCGAACGAUCGCGAACAACGACUUACUUCAUCAAAUAGCUUGUGAAAAACUACUUUUGCAAGCAAGAAAUAACUCUAGGAUAUAAAGCAGAGUUUCAUAACCAAGUACAUCCCAUGCAAGAGAGAACAAUGUGGCUUCUUGGCCAUUUCCAGAUCUUUUCUUUUCAUACAUUUCUUUGGAUUUUUCAUGUCCAGCCUUUAGCAUUUGGUUAUCUUUAAUGAGGAACUCAGAAAUUACUUGUAAACCUUUAUUUAGAUCUAAACCAGCAGAAUUUGAUGACCCAUAUCUGAACAAGAACUGCAGCCUAUCAUCAAGUUAUUGAAUGAAUUAUUAUAUGCUUAAUAUAUAGACUAAGCAUAAAGAGAUAAUAGCGUUCAUGAUUUUGUCUUUAAAUUGUCAUAUAUCAUAUAAUUUUAAUAGUCAAGCAUAAUAAUAAUUUUUAUAAUCCUGUGAAGGAUUACCUAGAUCACAAUCACCAGACCAUUCAUUUUUCAAGCUUUCUCUUAGGCCUUCUCGUAUGUCAAAAGCAUCCCCCUUUAUCCACCAUCUCCCAGAUGGAUUUUUUUCUUGAGCAACCUUUAAUGACUGUAUCUGCAUGAUAUUAAUAACACAUUUAUGAUCGAUAGUUUCACAACAUAUAUCUAGUUCUUAUUUAUCCUGGCAGUAUAUUACAUUUUAAUUAUUAAAUUUCUUGCACAUUCAUUCUUUUCUUUCUCUCAAGCAAUAGUUGGGUAGCCUAAUGCUAUAAGAUAUGGUGAUGAUACAAGGCGAUAUUUCGUCUUCGACAAGUUCGCGCAGUCUGUUGUUGUCCGGAAACAUCGCAAUUCUUCUUUCUCUCGGACUAUCUAUGAAGCUUACAUGCCCUCCAACCAGAUUAAGAAACAUGAAUGGAACAGAUUUUAUAGGACAUUUAUGAAUAAACUGAAAAUCGAUACAGUC